ACCUGACUGCUAUCGGAUUGAUACUAAGCCAUGCGAGUCAUUGUAGCAAUACAAGGCAGACGGCUCAGUAACGCGUAGUCAACCUAACCUAUGGACGGGAAUAACCUCGGGAAACUGAGAAUAAUGCCCGAUAGAACACUAUAUCUGGAAUGGUUUGUGUUCCAAAUGAUUUAUCGCCGUAGGAUGGGACUGCGGCCUAUCAGUUUGUUGGUGAGGUAAUGGCCCACCAAGACUAUUACAGGUACGGGCUCUGAGAGGAGUAGCCCGGAGAUGGGUACUGAGACACGGACCCAGGCCCUAUGGGGCGCAGCAGGCGAGAAAACUUUGCAAUGUGCGAAAGCACGACAAGGUUAAUCCGAGUGAUUUGUGCUAAACGAAUCUUUUGUUAGUUCUAGAAAUACUAACGAAUAAGGGGUGGGCAAGUUCUGGUGUCAGCCGCCGCGGUAAAACCAGCACCUCAAGUGGUCAGGAUGAUUAUUGGGCCUAAAGCAUCCGUAGCCGGAUCUGUAAGUUUUCGGUUAAAUCUGUACGCUUAACGUACAGGCUGCCGGGAAUACUGCAGAUCUAGGGAGUGGGAGAGGUAGAUGGUACUCGGUAGGAAGGGGUAAAAUCCUUUGAUCUAUUGAUGACCACCUGUGGCGAAGGCGGUCUACCAGAACACGUCCGACGGUGAGGGAUGAAAGCUGGGGGAGCAAACCGGAUUAGAUACCCGGGUAGUCCCAGCUGUAAACUAUGCAAACUCAGUGAUGCAUUGACUUGUGGUCAAUGCAGUGCUGCAGGGAAGCCGUUAAGUUUGCCGCCUGGGAAGUACGUACGCAAGUAUGAAACUUAAAGGAAUUGGCGGGGGAGCACCACAAGGGGUGAAGCCUGCGGUUC
rnacentral:rRNA from 2 species